CCUACGGGGGGCAGCAGUGAGGAAUAUUGGUCAAUGGACGAGAGUCUGAACCAGCCAAGUAGCGUGAAGGAUGACUGCCCUAUGGGUUGUAAACUUCUUUUAUAUGGGAAUAAAAUGUUCCACGUGUGGGAUUUUGUAUGUACCAUAUGAAUAAGGAUCGGCUAACUCCGUGCCAGCAGCCGCGGUAAUACGGGGGAUCCGAGCGUUAUCCGGAUUUAUUGGGUUUAAAGGGAGCGUAGGUGGAUUGUUAAGUCAGUUGUGAAAGUUUGCGGCUCAACCGUAAAAUUGCAGUUGAAACUGGCAGUCUUGAGUACAGUAGAGGUGGGCGGAAUUCGUGGUGUAGCGGUGAAAUGCUUAGAUAUCACGAAGAACUCCGAUUGCGAAGGCAGUUCACUGGACUGCAACUGACACUGAGGCUCGAAAGUGUGGGUAUCAAACAGGAUUAGAUACCCGAGUAGUC
rnacentral:rRNA from 1 species